rnacentral:rRNA from 1 species
GAAGGUGGCAAGCGUUGUUCGGAAUCACUGGGCUUAAAGCGCGCGUAGGGCGGAGAUGUAAGUGUCUUGUGAAAUCCCUCGGCUUAACCGAGGAACUGCUCGGCAAACUACAUUUCUUGAGGCAAGUAGGGGUACAUGGAACUCUUGGUGGAGCGGUGGAAUGCGUAGAUAUCAAGAGGAACGCCAAAGGUGAAGACAGUGUACUGGGCUUGUCCUGACGCUGAGGUGCGAAAGCGUGGGGAGCGAACGGGAUUAGAUACCCCGGUAGUCCACGCCGUAAACGAUGUCUACUAGGUUGUGGGUGUUCUGACACACUCGCAGUCGGAGCAAAAGUGUUAAGUAGACCGCCUGGGGAGUACGGUCGCAAGGCUA